rnacentral:rRNA from 1 species
UACGAAGGGGGCUAGCGUUGCUCGGAAUCACUGGGCGUAAAGCGCACGUAGGCGGAUCUUUAAGUCAGGGGUGAAAUCCUGGAGCUCAACUCCAGAACUGCCUUUGAUACUGGGGAUCUCGAGUCCGGGAGAGGUGAGUGGAACUGCGAGUGUAGAGGUGAAAUUCGUAGAUAUUUGCAAGAACACCAGUGGCGAAGGCGGCUCACUGGCCCGGUACUGACGCUGGGAGGUG